rfam:Tetrapisispora phaffii CBS 4417 chromosome 2, complete genome
GGAGGGUUGGCCGAGUGGUCUAAGGCGGCAGACUUAAGAUCUGUUGGACGGUGUCCGCGCGAGUUCGAACCUCGCAUCCUUCA